GACGAACGCCGGCGGCGUGCUUAACACAUGCAAGUCGAGCGGAAAGGCCACUUCGGUGGUACUCGAGCGGCGAACGGGUGAGUAACACGUGAGUAAUCUGCCCUUCACUUUGGGAUAACCCCCGGAAACGGGAGCUAAUACCGGAUACGACCUUCAACCGCAUGGUUUGUUGGUGGAAACUUUUUGGGUGGGGGAUGUUCUCGCGGCCUAUCAGCUUGUUGGUGGGGUAAUGGCCUACCAAGGCGUUGACGGGUAGCCGGCCUGAGAGGGUGACCGGCCACACGGGGACUGGGACACGGCCCAGACUCCUACGGGAGGCAGCAGUGGGGAAUAUUGGACAAUGGGCGGAAGCCUGAUCCAGCAACGCCGCGUGAGGGAUGACGGCCUUCGGGUUGUGAACCUCUUUCAGCACCGACGAAGCGCAAGUGACGGUAGGUGCAGAAGAAGGACCGGCCAACUACGUGCCAGCCGCCGCGGUAACAC
rnacentral:rRNA from 1 species